rnacentral:lncRNA from 1 species
AAUCUCCUCACCGCUGCUCUGGGACACGCCUCUGUUGGAUUUAAUUUACAGUCAUCAGCCACAGCUUUCAGCGAUGGACUCGACGGUUGAUGAUGAAGCGAUGGCGGCGUGAAUGAAGGCCCAGUGAGGAGAAACGAUGCCCAAGGGUGGGUGUUCUAGAACCCCACAGCAGGAAGAGCGUUCCCUGAGCAGCGACAUGGUGGAGAAGCAGCCCGGGAAAAAGGACAAAGAUAAAGUUUCUCUAACCAAGACCCCAAAGCUGGACCGCAGUGAUGGUGGGAAGGAGGUGAGAGAGCGCGCACCCAAGAGGAAGCUGCCCUUCACCGCGGGGGCCAAUGGAGAGCAGAAGGACUCGGACACAGAGAAGCAGGGUCCUGAGCGGAAGCGGAUCAGGAAGGAGCCCGUCACCCGCAAGGCCGGGCUGCUCUUCGGCAUGGGGCUGUCUGGGAUCCGCGCCGGCUACCCUCUCUCUGAGCGCCAGCAGGUGGCUCUGCUCAUGCAGAUGACGGCCGAGGAAUCCGCCAACAGCCCAGUGGACAUGACACCAAAGCACCCCUCUCAGUCAACAGUGUGUCAGAAGGGGACGCCCAACUCUGCCUCAAAAACCAAAGAUAAAGUGAACAAGAGGAACGAGCGUGGGGAGACCCGCCUGCACCGGGCGGCCAUCCGGGGGGACGCCCGGCGCAUCAAGGAGCUUAUCAGCGAGGGGGCAGACGUCAAUGUCAAGGACUUUGCGGGCUGGACGGCAUUGCAUGAGGCCUGUAACCGGGGCUACUAUGAUGUCGCGAAGCAGCUGCUGGCUGCAGGUGCGGAGGUGAACACCAAGGGCCUGGAUGAUGACACACCCUUGCACGAUGCUGCCAACAACGGGCACUACAAGGUGGGUGCCUCCCCGGACCCCAGGGUGGGCCUGCUG